CAAUAGCGUAUAUUAAAGUUGUUGCGGUUAAAAAGCUCGUAGUUGGAUUUCUGCCGAGGACGACCGGUCCGCCCUCUGGGUGUGUAUCUGGGCUCGGGCCCUGGGCAUCUUCUUGGAGAACGUAUCUGCACUUGACUGUGUGGUGCGGUAUCCAGGACUUUUACUUUGAGGAAAUUAGGUGAUUUCAAGCAGGCAUACGCCUUGAAUACAUUAGCAUGGAAUAAUAAGAUAGGACCUUUGGUUCUAUUUUGUUGGUUUCUAGAGCUGAGGUAAUGAUUAAUAGGGAUAGUUGGGGGGCAUUCGUAUUUAACUGUCAGAGGUGAAAUUCUUGGAUUUGUUAAAGACGGACUACUGCGAAAAGCAUUUGCCAAGGAUGUUUUCAUUGAUCAAGAACGAAAGUUAGGGGAUCGA
rnacentral:rRNA from 1 species